UUUUGUUUAUUUUGUGUGUUUAAGUGACUUUUUGUGACUUGUUUUUGUUUCUGUGUAUUGUCCUUGUGUGCGUUUUUGAUUGUGAACGUUUUCCGUUUAGUUAAUGCCGUCCUACUAACUCAACAAGUCCUACAAGAAGAGAAAGCAAUUUCUUUUUUUUUUUUUCUUAAGUUUUAUUUC
rnacentral:misc_RNA from 1 species